UCUUAUUUUCCUUAAAGAAAACAGAGAAAGCUCUCAAAUUUUCUCUUAGGCCUGCGCCACCCUCAUCGGAGGUCCGGCGAGCCGAGGUCGUGAGUUCGUCGGUGAUGGAAAUCAACAGGUGGGUGCACAUGGAGGAGUUGGUGGGAGUGUCAGACGCGUGGGGCGUGAUGGCCAAGGCUGAGGGGCAUGGUGGCCGACAUGGUGGCAUGGAAAGCUGGGGUGCCAGGGGUUUGCUGCUGAAAAACCUUAAGCAAGUGGGCUGUUAUUUGGGCUAGGGUUUGAUGUAAAUUGGGCUGUUUAAUAUUGUAAAUGGGCUAAUUAUUUUGGACUCUUUUUUAUUGUUUUGGGUUUUGUUAUUUUUUAUUUGUCUGGGCCCGGGCAAUAUUGGGCCUGUACAGCUGCCCCUCUUUACUCAUUGUUGUGUAACGAGAAUAGAUCAAAGAUUAUAAAAAGACCAAUUUUGCCCGGGCUCGCCGAGUCUUGAGUUCUUGAUCCUUGAUCUUCUUUAAAUGGAAUCUUGACAGCUUCAACCUGCUUCACCGCAACUCAAAAA